AGGACGGUGGAAGUUUCGAGGAGUGGGAAAAAGGAGUCACGGGAUGUCUGAGCCCCGAGCUGCGGGACCCGUCGUCAGAACACACCUGGCUGCGGCGAGAGGCGACGGAGGCAGCUCCAGACAAACAGGAGGCCACCCCACCCACGCUGGGAGCACCACCUCUCAGGAAGGAGUAGCUGUGACCUCUCCCACUGCACUGGGCUGGGAGGCCAGCAGAUCUGCUCUGCUCUCCUGACGGCCAAAGGUUGUGGUCGUUGUUUUCACCAAUGGAAAUCAUCCCCCAGUGGGAGAGAGGAAGCCAUGGUGGAGAAGCAGAGACAGACAGGAACACAACAGACACACGUGGAGUGAGGCUGGAAGGCAGCAGUGUCUCAGAGCGACAUAGUGGAGAUGAAGGUCUCCAGAACCUCAGGCCAGAGAGGGACAGUGGGCAGGGGGCCGAAGGUGGCGAUGGCCCUCAGCGUGGCUUGGGACAGCAAUAUGGACACCAGGGCAAUGCAGGAAGCAGGCCUGGGACCCCUUGGGCAAUAGUGAGUAUAAACUGGAGUUCUUUCAUUCCUGGUUCCACAAACUGUUCUGAGUGCCCCUGCCCCCACCCCCACCCCCAAGAUGGCCUCCUAUACCCUGUAAACCAGAGAUCCCCACACCCCCGGGCCGUGGACCAGGAUGGGUCCAUGGCCUGAUAGGAACCAGGCUGCAGAGCAGGAGGUGAGUGGCGGGUGAGGGAGCGAAGCAUCGCCUGCAGCUCCCCAUCACUCCUCAUCGCUGGCAUUACCACCAUCCCCCCACCCCCAUGAAACCAGAAGGUUGGGGACUGCUGCUAUAAGCGAUUUGAGGUGAAAAGACCCACAUCCUGCUCUCAGGCCAAGAUGCAUCUAUGAUACACCAGGAAGACUGAUGCACUGUUAGUAAGCAUGGAUAAAGAGCCCAGGAGUUCAAAGGAGGACGCAGUAUGGUUAUCUCCCCUUGUUUUCCUUUUACUUGUGACAGAGAAUACUUAAUAGGUGCUCAAUGAACGUCAGCUGUGAUACGUGUCCUCGCCAUUUACAUGCAUCACCUCACCGCAACCCUCUGUGGGGCAAGGGUCCAUUAUCAUCCCCAUUUCAUAGAUGACGAAGUUGCUCCAUGAAAGUUAAAUCACGGUUCAGGGUCGCUGGGAGGCAGCUGGAAGGCGCAGAGCUGGGUUUUGAAGCGAGAUUCUUUUUGACUCUGGAGGACAAGCUCUUAAUCAUAACAUUUACAUGUUCUUGAACUUCCUGGAGCCCUUCAGAGCUCCCUUCUAGGGCCCAGGCUGGGGAAACUGGGACCACGUGUGCUCGCCAGCACAACUCACGGCUCUAUUUUACACAAACAAACCCUGUCCUUCUCCAAACUAACAAAUGAGUUUCAGAUUAACUUCUAGGGAUUUUUUUUUUUUUUAAACCUCUACUAUCCAAAGUUCUCGAGUAAUUCAGCAGCCAUUCAAGAGAAUGGAGGGGGCUGACUCUGUAACUGAACCCCAAAUUCUUCAUUUCUCAUUUUCCUAGUGCCUCUUAAAUACAAAGACAUUUUCAUCCUUAGCACCACUUCCUAGGGUUGGGGCUAUGACCUUGGCAGUCUCUGGCUCUAGAAAAAAGGUAUGGUACCUCUUGUGUGGUGUGGGGGAAGGAAGAAA